AUAACUUUUUUUUCCUUUCCAUACUUCAAAUAUGAUUUUUGGCAAUAUUAGCAAAUUUUUAUUAUUGGGUUGAUAACGGAAAAGUUUUUAUAAUUUUUUUUUAUCAAUUCUACGAUGAUUAAGGUCAACGUUAUCGAUAUUACAAUAUGUAUAGAAUCGCAAAUGAGUGUUUGCAGAGAGCGUUAGUUAUCAGGCAUAUAUAGUUGUUCUCAUAUUGUAGUCUCUUAUAUUGGUUAUCUAUGAUGGAAGUAAUUCUAGUCUCUCAUAUUGGUUAUCUAUGAUAGUAGAGGUUAUGUUCGUUUAGGCUUUAUUGUUGUUAAUUAUGUUUAUUGUAUCUUCUGACUGUGCAAUGGUUAGAAGAUUGUACAAAAUACAUUAUUAUCGUUAUGAGUUUCUUGUUUGAUUUAGUAAAAAACGCAUUUAUCAGGAUGUUAGAGCUUUUAUGGUUUGGUAAAAAGAAAAUUAGCAAUUCAUUAAGUAUAUAUAUCAAAACAAAUACAGGAAAUACUCUAUCUGUGGAUUUAGAUCCUAAAUGGGAUAUAAAAAAUGUGAAAGAAAUAUUAGCACCCCGAAUGGGGAUGGCACCAGAAGAUAUUAAAAUUAUUUUCGCUGGUAAAGAACUACAUAAUUCAACAGUAAUAGAGGAAUGUGAUUUGGGUCAGCAAAGCAUUCUUCAUGCUGUUCAAAAUCGUCAUCAAAGACUUAAUAAGAGUAUAAAUUCUGUAAAUAUUAUCGAAGAGGUGGUAACAGAAGGAUCUGAUUUUGAUUCGACAAUUAGUAGUAGUGGGAGUAAACCAAUGAAUGAAACUCUUACAGAUUUGCCAUUAGAAGAAACAGAUCAGACAAAUUCAUCCACAGAUGAGCAACGAGAAACUCGAGCACAUUUUUACGUAUAUUGUUCAAAGCCGUGCAAAGCUGUAACUACAGGGAAGUUAAGAGUCAAAUGUGCAUCUUGUGGUAGCGGUGCUGUUACAGUAGAUAGAGAUCCACAAUGUUGGCCAGAUGUUUUACAACCUAAAAGAAUAACGGUUCAUUGCGAAAAUGAGUUAUGCGAGUUAUCUGUAUCUUCUAAUGAAGAUACCGAUUUACAAGUUUUUUAUGCUCAAUUCUUUUUCAAGUGUGCAAAUCAUAUUAGUUUAGGUGAAGAUGACCAGGCAGUACCACUUUAUUAUAUCAAGCCAAAUUCCAUGAAUGUACCUUGUCUCGCUUGUACAGAUAUAAGGGAUACAGUAUUGGUUUUUCCUUGCGAAGCAGCCCAUGUAACUUGCUUAGAUUGCUUUAAAGAAUAUUGUUCUGUACGUUUACGCGAGCGUCAGUUUCAAUUUGAAGCAACAAAAGGUUACUAUACUCUUCCCUGUCCCGCAGGAUGUUCCAACUCUUUUAUUACAGAAGUCCAUCAUUUUCAUCUUCUUAAUCCACAGCAGUAUGAGCAAUAUCAACGAUUUAGUACAGAGGAAUAUGUUUUACGAGAGGGUGGACUUCUUUGUCCAAGGCCAGAUUGUGGUAUGGGUAUAAUACCACCAUCUAUAGAAGAUGGUGCAAAUGAAGAAGAAUGUCGUAAAAUUCAAUGUUUUGCAGGUUGUGGUAAGAUGUUUACAAGGAUUUCAUGUGGGAGAAUGCGAAUUACAAUCUUCAGAGGCAUCUAAUAACAAAUCUAUAUCUAACGGAUAUACCAUUGAUCCCCAGAAGGCUAAAGAUGCUAAAUGGGAUGAGGCUAGUAAAAAAACCAUACAAAUAUCGACUAAACCUUGUCCAAAAUGUAGGACACCUACCGAAAGAGAUGGUAUUCAUAGUUUCUGAAAACUUUCUAUCAAACCAGUUAAUUUUUUAUUUUCGAAAAAUACUUCGAAAUUGUUAUUUCUUUAGGUGGAUGCAUGCAUAUGGUUUGCACACGAGCAGGCUGUGGUUUUCAGUGGUGUUGGGUUUGCCAAACUCAAUGGACGAGAGAUUGCAUGGGUAGUCAUUGGUUCGGAUAGAGGAAUACGUUAAUUUAACGUUAAUUUUUAUAACUACCGUUAUUACUAAUUUAUUUUCUGACAAUGUAAUUUAUCAAUAAUCGGAUAAAUUAUUUUCUUGUCAUAAAAAUUAGUUUGUUUUGUUAAUCUUUUGUUUCCUACUGAUAGAGUAUAUUUUUUUGUAAUGUUUUCAGAAUUCGUUAAAUUUAUCUAACAACCUUAUAUUUUCAAAAUAUGCAGUAAAAAUUAAUUUGCAAUGGAA